rnacentral:lncRNA from 1 species
UCCCAAAGUCAGACAUCCAGACAUAUCCAGGGAAAACAAAGGGCCCGUGAGAGGGAGCACAGCAAAAGCCUGUGAGAUGGGGGUCUUCAAAAGCAAACCAGUGGGGAUUUACAUUAAGAUGUUGCUCAGGCCUACGAGCCCUCUCCUGGAGCUGGGUGCUUAAGGCAUUGCAGGCACCUUUUUAAAUGGGGAAAGCAGAGAGAUCUUUGUGAUGAGCCCUGCAUGACAGUGAGAGGUUUGCCUCAGAUACUGGAUGUAUGGGGACUUGGUGAUGGCAGGAGCAAGGUGCUGGUGCCCUUCUCCCCAGGUUAGGCACCUUGGGGCGAGUGGGAGGGCUGCCAAUGUCAGUAUUGGUGCUAGACCUGCAUGCUUAGUCCUUAAAUUUAUCUGAAUUUCAGGUCAAUUUAUUUUGAACUGCUUUGCAAAGGACUGGGGUGGAUGACAAAAGCUGCAUGGAAGCUAGAUACUGCGAAUCAACAUUUAGAUACCAGCCUGUAUACCUGCUUUGACGAAACUGUCCCUAACAUGUAAACAUUCCAUCUUUUCACGAGGCUGGAAUACCUCUUCAAAUAAAAAGCAGCCAUGCUGGCAAACGGUCUUCAAAGGUAGCGAAAUAAUCCCUAAGGGGAGAUCUGCUUUUGUGAGGAAUUCCCCAGCAGACGGCUGGGAGAUCUUAACAAACAAGUCCUUUUAAACUGCCAUGUACUUUGAAGCCUGAGUGAGCAUUCAUUCAUUUGGCACAAAAAGCAACAGUGAAGAGGGGGGUGGAAAGGCUCAGUCAAGGUGAAAACGAAGUUGAGUCUUUACCCAAAGCCAUUGUGGGUACAAAUGAAUUGCUUCAGUGGAGGUAAUAAAAGAUAUGUUAUCCCACAUUUAAUAAAAAGCAACAGUGAAAAUACAAAGAGCUCAUUUCAGGCUUCAGUUAUCAGAUGUUUAUUGCACACAGCCCUUUCUACUGGGAUGGAGACCCAAGAAGUGUAUUGCCUUUGAAGUGGGCUGUGUGGCCAGUUGCCCAUUGGCUGUUUUAUGGCUAAAUCUGCUUAAUAUGAUCCACUUUCAUCUUUCCAGUGGCAGAGCGCUCUGCAGAGGGAAGAAGGCAGACAGGCUUCUGGAUGAGCCUCCGGAUAUCCACUGAGGACAGAGCAAACCAGGGAGCACUUCACCCUGGAGUGUAGGUAGAAAGGAGGAUGCAGGGUGAAGCAGAGGCUGAGCUCAGUGAGAUGCAGAGCACACU